rnacentral:lncRNA from 1 species
GCCCCAUAUUUCAAUUGGAAUACUACUGUUUCUGUUAAUUUUCCAGGUUUCAUCCACAGAAUAAUUGAAUUUGUAGCGAUUCCCAUUGCAUAUCUUCUGAUUUCCACAGCAUUUUGCUCAGCUGUUCUUCAUGAUCUCUGGAAUACAUCUCAGUGGACUGAAGUUGUUCUUGUCAGUGUUGGGAUUAUUCUGCUGUCAUCCAUGCCUGCAAUUUUUCGAGCCUUAAACAACGUUUGCUUCACACGAUUUUUUGAUAUACAUUUGUCAGUGCAAUUUAUUAUAGAGAAUUUAGGACACGUUCUCAUGCAGUCAAGCAACUUUUUUCAAAUGCGUCUUCUCUUCUAUAGAUCAUCAAGUGUUGAUGAAUCCAUGAUUAAAAUUACAUAUGCCUUUGGGGGAAUUUCUGCAGCCAUAUCAUUAAUAGUUCUUCCAAUUCCAGCAAUUCGCCAGUACUUUUGUUCAAAACUGGGCAAAUAUCAACUUUAUGCGCUUAUAUGGAGAUGUUAUUUAGUUUGGGUAAACGUUAUGGUUUUUACGCUCAUCGGGCAUAGUGCAUUUAUUUUAUUUUAUCUCAACAAGAUUCUGGAGUAUACUAACGAGCGCUUCGGAUGGAUCUUUGUCACAGUUAUGCUCCAUGUCUUGACUGCAAUUUCACCCACACGAUUCCCCAGAAAAGUUCCCGAUGUAAUUUACACUACUUUGUUCAUGUAUGGAGUGGCAGGUCUACCAGUGGUCAACUCUGUUUCUCUUGCCACAGAAUUAAUAUUGCAAGUAUGUAAGUGUCAACACCUAAACAAUUUUUAUAUUUCCACAAUAUAUUUCAGAAU